rnacentral:tRNA from 1 species
GUCGGGGUUGUCGAUGGCGGGACCGCCGGCCUUCCGCGCGGGUCGAUCGUGCCGGUCCACUGGAACAGGCGGUUCGGGGUCGUCGGGCCGAUG